UUAUUAACGUUUCAACAAAACUUUAUAAAAAAACAACAAACUUAUAAUAAUAUCACAAUAAUAGAUUACAGAAGUUUAAAUAAGUCAUUAAUUUGUCAAUACAGAAUAUCUGCAAUUUUUUACUGCAAUUUUAUCUAAAAUUUAUUUCAUAUUAUAAUUUCAAUAAACUUUCCUUCUUUUUUUCAUUAAAUAGUAAUAAUCCUUCAAAUUUUAUUAUAUUUUUAUUGAAUCUUUAUUAAAAUUUUAUCUGUUCUUUAUUAUGUAGAAAAAAAUCUUUUCAGCGAAAUAUAAUUAAAUUUUCGUUGCAUCCAUUGUUGCAUAUUCAUUGAAAUUUUAUCAAAUUUAAUCAAACAUCAAGUUCAUUAAAGUUUCACUAAAAUUUUAUUGAAAUUUUUGUAACAGGGAUGAGAUUAAUUUGUAUGUUAAUCGACUGAAUGGUUUCGCAUUUCCGAGUCAAAAUAUUAAGAUAUCUUCUCUCAGAUGAAUAUUGUCCGGUCGGACUGUUAUAGCGAUAUGAUGCAAGAACAUUGUAGCUAUCCGGAUGGUUCUCGGAAGGAAGGCGACAGAGAUGGAAAGCGAUCGCGAGGUGGUCUUGCGAUACUUGAUGUCGCAGAGUGAUAAGCAAUCUAGGUUUUUGUCACGCACGCGUCUCAUGUGAUCCGUUUAGAACUCAACUAAAGGAAGGUUGGAAUCAGAUUGAACGUGUCCGGCUGUCUUAUAAAGGGAAAGACACUGUUGACAUGCGUGUCCAGCGCCUGACACCCAUUCCAAAAAAAA